rnacentral:rRNA from 1 species
ACGGAAUCUUCGGAUUCAGUGGCGGACGGGUGAGUAACACGUGGGAAUCUACUGAGUAGUGGGGGACAGCCCGGCGAAAGCCGGAUUAAUACCGCAUACGCCCUACGGGGGAAAGGCGCAAGCCGCUAUUUAAUGAGCCCGCGUAAGAUUAGCUAGUUGGUAAGGUAAAGGCUUACCAAGGCGACGAUCUUUAGCUGGUCUGAGAGGAUGGCCAGCCACAUCGGGACUGAGACACGGCCCGGACUCCUACGGGAGGCAGCAGUCGGGAAUAUUGGACAAUGGGCGCAAGCCUGAUCCAGCAAUACCGCGUGUGUGAAGAAGGCCUGCGGGUUGUAAAGCACUUUCAGUUGGGAAGAUAAUGACGUUACCAACAGAAGAAGCACCGGCUAACUCCGUGCCAGCAGCCGCGGUAAUACGGAGGGUGCAAGCGUUAAUCGGAAUUACUGGGCGUAAAGCGUGCGUAGGCGGUUUAUUAAGUCAGAUGUGAAAUCCCCGGGCUCAACCUGGGAACUGCAUCUGAUACUGGUAGACUAGAGUGUGGGAGAGGAGAGUGGAAUUUCCGGUGUAGCGGUGAAAUGCAUAGAGAUCGGAAGGAACAUCAGUGGCGAAGGCGACUCUCUGGACCAACACUGACGCUGAGGCACGAAAGCGUGGGUAGCAAACAGGAUUAGAUACCCUGGUAGUCCACGCCGUAACGAUG